AUGUCCACAGUGCUGGCGUGCAGAGAGCCUAACUGUACACUGCUUCCCAGAACAGAGUUAGAGCAGACGAUGCUUUUGGGUCAGAAGACUUCACACCCAUUCAGUCACUCACUUAUUCAUUCAUUCAUUCUCCCAUCCAUCCAUUCAUCCACCCAGCCAUCCAUCUAUCCAUCCAUCCAUCCAUCCAUCCACACAUCCAUCCAUCCGUCCAUCCAUCCAUCCAUCCACCCACUCAUCCACACAUCCAUCCAUCCGUCCAUCCAUCCAUCCAUCCACCCUGCAGAUACUCAUCAAGGGCCCUGGGAGUGGCAGGCAGUGGUAGGUGCUGGGGACCCAACUGUGAGCAUCAAGGCUCUGCCUCAUGGAGCUGAUGCGACAGGAGGAGAGACAGACAAUACACUGGCUUCUAGGCCUGAGAAUGAUGCCAAGUGCUGGGGAGAACACAGAAGGGUAGGAGGAUGGGUGAUGGGGUCGGGAGAGAGCUAUUCCAGGGAGAAUGGGGCUGGGUGUGUUCAAGGGACCAAAAGCUCAGAUUGUGAAAUGCCCCGUAAGGUGGGAACUGCAGAAGGUGGAGCCGAUGUCCCUGGUGAACGCCCAUCCUGCCCUUGGACUUUACCCGCCCACCCGUGCCCACCAUCUUCCAGUGCUUGUUUAUGGACCUGGAUGAGCCUCCGACUUCUUGCGGGUGUCGAGAUCCUUCGCCACGGGGCUUCUCGUCAUCUUCCAUCAGUGGACACCGCGAGCUGGCUGGGCCCCUUCCUGGUGCACCCGGGCGGGUCCUUUCCCCGUACCGUGCACGCCGAGCAGGGAGGGGUGCGUCCAGUCACCGUCGUACCCGCUGCACUGGGCCCUGGUCACUCAUACCCUCACUGCACGGUCCUGACGUUUGGGGGACACACAGGACACACUGACCAGAAGGCCCAAACAAGCAACAGGCGUCCCGGCCCCUUGCCAGCCCCUGAGGAGAGUCUGGUUUAUGGGCAGCUAACGUGUCCCACCAUCUCGUCCUGA
rnacentral:lncRNA from 1 species